rnacentral:rRNA from 1 species
GACGAACGCUGGCGGCGUGCUUAACACAUGCAAGUCGAACGGUAAGGCCCUUCGGGGUACACGAGUGGCGAACGGGUGAGUAACACGUGGGUGAUCUGCCCUGCACUUCGGGAUAAGCCUGGGAAACUGGGUCUAAUACCGGAUAGGACUCCUGGCUUCAUGGUUGGGGGUGGAAAGCUUUUGCGGUGUGGGAUGGGCCCGCGGCCUAUCAGCUUGUUGGUGGGGGAAUGGCCUACCAAGGCGACGACGGGUAGCCGGCCGGUGAGGGUGACCGGUCACACUGGGACUGAGAUACGGCCCAGAAUCCUACGGGAGGCAGCAGUGGGGAAUAUUGCACAAUGGGCGCAAGCCUGAUGCAGCGACGCCGCGUGAGGGAUGACGGCCUUCGGGUUGUAAACCUCUUUCAGCUAUGACGAAGCGCAAGUGACGGUAGUAGCAGAAGAAGGACCGGCCAACUACGUGCCAGCAGCCGCAGUAA